rnacentral:rRNA from 1 species
UGGGGAAUAUUGGGCAAUGGGGGAAACCCUGACCCAGCAACGCCGCGUGAAGGAAGAAGGCCUUCGGGUUGUAAACUUCUUUUACCUAGGGACGAAGGACGUGACGGUACCUGGAGAAAAAGACAACGGCUAACUACGUGCCAGCAGCCGCGGUAAUACGUAGGUUGCAAGCGUUGUCCGGAUUUACUGGGUGUAAAGGGCGUGUAGGCGGAGGAGCAAGUCAGAUGUGAAAUCCACGGGCUCAACUCGUGAACUGCAUUUGAAACUGUUGAUCUUGAGUAUCGGAGAGGUAAUCGGAAUUCCUUGUGUAGCGGUGAAAUGCGUAGAUAUAAGGAAGAACACCAGUGGCGAAGGCGGAUUACUGGACGACAACUGACGGUGAGGCGCGAAAGCGGU